rnacentral:rRNA from 1 species
AUUGAACGCUGGCGGAAUGCUUUACACAUGCAAGUCGAACGGCAGCACGGGGGCAACCCUGGUGGCGAGUGGCGAACGGGUGAGUAAUACAUCGGAACGUGCCCAAUCGUGGGGGGAUAACGUAGCGAAAGCUACGCUAAUACCGCAUACGAUCUACGGAUGAAAGCGGGGGAUCGCAAGACCUCGCGCGAAUGGAGCGGCCGAUGGCAGAUUAGGUAGUUGGUGGGGGUAAAGGCUCACCAAGCCAACGAUCUGUAGCUGGUCUGAGAGACGACCAGCCACACUGGGACUGAGACACGGCCCAGACUCCUACGGGAGGCAGCAGUGGGGAAUUUUGGGACAAUGGGCGAAAGCCUGAUCCAGCCAUUCCGCGUGCAGGA